rnacentral:rRNA from 1 species
GAGUUUGAUCAUGGCUCAGAUUGAACGCUGGCGGUAGGCUUAACACAUGCAAGUCGUGCGAGAAAGUAUCUUCGGAUAUGAGUAGAGCGGCGGACGGGUGAGUAACGCGUAGGAAUCUACCUAGUAGAAGGGGAUAGCCCGGGGAAACCCGGAUUAAUACCGUAUACCUCCUUCGGGAGAAAGAAGGCCUCUCUUUGAAGCUUUCGCUACUAGAUGAGCCUGCGUAAGAUUAGCUUGUUGGUGAGGUAAAGGCUCACCAAGGCGACGAUCUUUAGCUGGUCUGAGAGGACGAUCAGCCACAUUGGGACUGAGACACGGCCCAGACUCCUACGGGAGGCAGCAGUGGGGAAUAUUGGACAAUGGGCGCAAGCCUGAUCCAGCCAUACCGCGUGUGUGAAGAAGGCCUUCGGGUUGUAAAGCACUUUAAGCAGGGAGAAAAAGUUAUAAGUUAAUACCUUAUAACCCUGAUGUUACCUGCAGAAUAAGCACCGGCUAAUUCCGUGCCAGCAGCCGCGGUAAUACGUAGGGUGCAAGCGUUAAUCGGAAUUACUGGGCGUAAAGCGUGCGCAGGCAGUUUUAUAAGUCAGAUGUGAAAUCCCCGAGCUCAACUUGGGAACUGCGUUUGAAACUGUAAGACUAGAGUGUGUCAGAGGGGGGUAGAAUUCCAAGUGUAGCAGUGAAAUGCGUAGAGAUUUGGAGGAACACCAAUGGCGAAGGCAGCCCCCUGGGAUAACACUGACGCUCAUGCACGAAAGCGUGGGGAGCAAACAGGAUUAGAUACCCUGGUAGUCCACGCCCUAAACGAUGUCUACUAGUUGUUGGUGGAGUAAAAUCCAUGAGUAACGCAGCUAACGCGUGAAGUAGACCGCCUGGGGAGUACGGUCGCAAGAUUAAAACUCAAAUGAAUUGACGGGGGCCCGCACAAGCGGUGGAUUAUGUGGAUUAAUUCGAUGCAACGCGAAAAACCUUACCUGGCCUUGACAUGUACCGAAUUUAGCAGAGAUGCUUUAGUGCUCGAAAGAGAACGGUAACACAGGUGCUGCAUGGCUGUCGUCAGCUCGUGUCGUGAGAUGUUGGGUUAAGUCCCGCAACGAGCGCAACCCUUGCCAUUAAUUGCCAUCAUUUAGUUGGGCACUUUAAUGGGACUGCCGGUGACAAACCGGAGGAAGGUGGGGAUGACGUCAAGUCCUCAUGGCCCUUAUGGCCAGGGCUUCACACGUAAUACAAUGGUCGGUACAGAGGGAAGCCAACCCGCGAGGGGGAGCCAAUCUCAGAAAGCCGGUCGUAGUCCGGAUUGUUGUCUGCAACUCGACAGCAUGAAGUCGGAAUCGCUAGUAAUCGCGGAUCAGCAUGUCGCGGUGAAUACGUUCCCGGGCCUUGUACACACCGCCCGUCACACCAUGGGAGUGGGUUUUACCAGAAGUAGUUAGUCUAUCCGCAAGGGGGACGAUUACCACGGUAGGAUUCAUGACUGGGGUGAAGUCGUAACAAGGUAACC